UGUUCUCCUGGUUUUUCAUUAUAACUAAUUUUAGCUCAUAACUAACUUCAAAUCUUGAUAGUAAUUUUAUGAGUGCGGUGUGAGCACACAACACCCACAAACCAAUUUCAGUAAUCUCCGUAAGCCACCUAAGUGUUGUGUGAGCACCCCACUUUAAUAUCUGACCCGCCUAAAAUAUAUAACCAAUGUUUACUCCAUCACACAAUCCUUGUGCUCCAGCUUCUAAUCUUCAAAUCAUACAUCAGAUGUAGCAUCAUCUAUGACUUGGGUGUUCCUUUAGUAGUUGUAAACAUCUAGAUGCCAAUACCUACAGGAAGUUAAGCUAGGGAUUAGAAAUCUAAGUUCAGUCGCAGCCCACAGGGCCUGGGGGACGGGGAAAGUUUUCGACUGUACCUGAUGUGUUGGCGAUAUUUAAAGGCUCACACAAUCAUCAUUCUGUUUAAAUGGGUUCCCUGGUUCUUAUCAAGGGCAAGUCCUAGUGCAGUAAUCAACUGUGGCAUGGUCAUUCCUCCAGAAACAAUUAUUUCUGUAGAGAGAUAAUAGUAGAAACUUAAGAUUAGAAAUUCAGGUGAUAUAGUAAGAGUGCUAUUAAGAAGACCAUCAAACUUAGCAACCGCAAAAAGGAGGCAUUACCAAAAUAAGCUUAUGCUAUAUUCAGAUGUUACAAAAAAACAGCGAACAAGAGAAUAAGAUGAUAUCUGAGUGAUUUCUGGUAGAGAACCUAACAACAACAACAUAUAGUAUUCGCAAGUGUUCAUAGGAUUUAGCAGUUAAAGGAACCACUCUAAAAGACAUCAAAUUACCAGACAAAUGUGUAAAAGCCCCAUAACCUUGAAGUAUCUCUAGCUGGCCUUUUCAGGGCUUGCACAACAAAUUUAUGUAUGAGAGACUGAUUUAAACCACCUUAUAUAUAGACUAUAGGUUAAUCCUGAUAAGCUAACUAUUAAGAUAAGCCCAGCCAUGCUACAUUAGACUUAAUUCUUUGGGCGAACCUUUACACUCUUGAGAUGUAAGUGUUUAGUUGUCACAAAUUACAACUAAAGGAUAACACUUUCCUCAAAGUGAACUAUUUCAAGAAUGAGGUAACACAAAAAAAGAGCACACACAAGUAUGGUAUGAAUCUUUGUGUAGCUAAUAAUGAAAAUUAUAAAUCAAAAUUCUUGAAAGCAUAUAAAUGAGUAAAUUAUCCAGAAUGAAGCAUGCUAAUGUUAUUGAUGCCAUGAAUCCAUUUGUAGAAAGUGUUGUGCAUAAACAAGUACCUGAAGAAUCAUGCUCGAUGUUAUAAAUCCAAAUGCGUAUUCACCAGUAUGACGAUGGCUAAUCAUUGCCACUUCUUUAAAUGCUGAUGUAUUUUGAUAUGUCAAAUGAAUAAAACACAUUAUAAGAAUUUUUUUCUGGUUGGACAGAAGAAUAUUCCAUCAUUUUAUUCUCUCUAGUUAAGCAGUCGUGCAUGAUACAUCAUGUGUCAUAAUGAAUCGGUCCCGACUGUAAAUUAUUCUCUUAUGAGCAGAAUAUGGCCUAAAAAUUAGACAAGUGCAAAAAGCUACAAACAGCAGUACAUCACACAUGCAACCUUUUUAUGUAUAAGCAACAAAAAUGGUUAUAUCAUAUAUCUCUAGUGGCGAAAUAUUACGCAACGGUUAACACAAAAUUAGCAUGGUAAAGUAUAUACAUUUACGGAGAAGAGACCAAUACCUGAGAUGCAUUAGGAAUCAUCAAUCAAGCUGUUGGCAUGGAAAAU
rnacentral:lncRNA from 1 species